CUCCCCCCGGGACAGGGACCGGUCAAUACUGUAUACACUGUCUGAUCAAACACCCCCCGGGACAAGGACAGGUCAAUACUGUAUACACUGAUCAAACAUCCCCCAGGACAGGGACAGGUCAAUACUGUAUACACUGAUCAAACUCCCCCCGGGACAGGGACAGGUCAAUACUGUAUACACUGUCUGAUCAAACUCCCCCCGGGACAGGGACAGGUCAAUACUGUACACACUGUCUGAUCAAACUCCCACCCGGGACAGGGACAGGUCAAUACUGUAUACACUGAUCAAACAUCCCCCCGGGACAUGGACAGGUCAAUACUGUAUACACUGAUCAAACACCCCCCCGGGACAGGGACAGGUCAAUACUGUAUACACUGAUCAAACACCCCCCGGGACAGGGACAGGUCAAUACUGUAUACACUGAUCAAGCACCCCCCGGGACAGUGACAGGUUAAUACUGUAUACACUGUCUGAUCAAACAUCCCCCCGGGACAGGGACAGGUCAAUACUAUAUACACUGAUCAAACACCCCCCAGAACAUGGACAGGUCAAUACUAUAUACACUGAUCAAACACCCCCCGGGAUAGGGACAGGUCAAUACUGUAUACACUGAUCAAACAUCCCCCAGAACAUGGACAGGUCCAUACUAUAUACACUGAUCAAACACCCCCCGGGAUAGGGACAGGUCAAUACUGUAUACACUGUCUGAUCAAACUCCCCCCGGGAAAGGGACAGGUCAAUACUGUAUACACUGUCUGAUCAAACUCCCCUGGGGACAGGGACAGGUCAAUACAGUAUACACUGUCUGAUCAAACUCCCCCCGGGACAGGGACAGAUCAAUACUGUAUACACUGAUCAAACACCCCCCGGGACAGGGACAGGUCAAUACUGUAUACACUGAUCAAACACCCCCCGGGACAGGGACAUGUCAAUACUGUAUACACUGAUCAAACACCCCCCGGGACAGGGACAGGUCAAUACUGUACACACUAAUCAAACACCCCCCGGGACAGGGACAGGUCAAUACUGUAUACACUGAUCAAACACCCCCCAGGACAGGGACAGGUCAAUACUGUAUACACUGAUCAAACACCCCCUGGGACAGAGACAGGUCAAUACUGUAUACACUGAUCAAACACCCCCCGGGACAGGGACAGGUCAAUACUGUAUACACUGAUUAAACACCCCCCGGGACGGGGACAGGUCAAUACUGUAUACACUGAUCAAACACCCCCCGGGACAGGUCAAUACUGUAUACACUGUCUGAUCAAACAUCCCCCAGGACAGGGACAGGUCAAUACUGUAUACACUGUCUGAUCAAACUCCCCUGGGGACAGGGACAGGUCAAUACUGUAUACACUGAUCAAACUUCCCCCAGAACAUGGACAGGUCAAUACUAUAUACACUGAUCAAACACCCCCCGGGACAGGGACAGGUCAAUACUGUAUACACUGUCUGAUCAAACUCCCCCCGGGAAAGGGACAGGUCAAUACUGUAUACACUGAUCAAACACCCCCCGGGACAGGGACAGGUCAAUACUGUAUACACUGUCUGACCAAACACCCCCCGGGACAGGGACAGGUCAAUACUGUAUACACUGAUUAAACACCCCCCCGGGACAGGGACAGGUCAAUACUGUAUACACUGUCUGAUCAAACAA